rnacentral:rRNA from 1 species
CCAGAGGACCCCUAAACUCUGUUUCUAUAUGUAACUUCUGAGUAAAACCAUAAAUAAAUCAAAACUUUCAACAACGGAUCUCUUGGUUCUGGCAUCGAUGAAGAACGCAGCAAAAUGCGAUAAGUAAUGUGAAUUGCAGAAUUCAGUGAAUCAUCGAAUCUUUGAACGCACAUUGCGCCUGCCAGUAUUCUGGCGGGCAUGCCUGUUCGAGCGUCAUUUCAACCCUCAAGCACAGCUUGGUGUUGGGACUCGCGUUAAUUCGCGUUCCCCAAAUUGAUUGGCGGUCACGUCGAGCUUCCAUAGCGUAGUAGUAAAACCCUCGUUACUGGUAAUCGUCGCGGCCACGCCGUUAAACCCCAACUUCUGAAUGUUGACCUCGGAGCAGGU